GGCACAUUUUACUGAAAAAGACUACGUGCAGGAAACUAUUCAUGGGCGCAAACCCACCAUACAGAGACUUAAGUCUACUGCCAUUCCCAGCCUAUUUUCCUGGACCAAGCAAGAGACUGAAUCGUCCGCAAAAAGAAAAAUCAGGGCAGUUUCCUGUGAAAACAAAAGAACUAAACUUGAUGAAUAUUGUAGUCGAAAUCUAGAGGAAAGUUUGAUUGUAAAGUUGGUUUUCCUGAAGAAGUCAUUCAUACUGCAGAAAGGAUUUAUGACUGUCCACCACCAACUGCCGAGCUAAUUAUGAGGUUCACAGAUGGAAUUACGCAAACACCAUCAAUGUCUAUGUUUUCAUCAGAGAAUUUUGAAAUGAAGACAUGUGACACAGCCAUGCAUUUUUAUACCGGUUUAGAGUUGUAUACUAAAUUUUUAUUUGUUUUGACCACACUUGGUCCAGCAGCACAUUGUUUGAGAGACAUAUAUUUUCAAAUUGAUAGGGUGUCAGUUGAAAAUCUGUUUUUUUAUGACUUUGAUGAAAUUGAGGCAUUAUACAACCAACUUUGAACUGUCUAGAUUCUAGAUUGAAUCUAGUGUUAAGAAUAUUGUGUAUACAUGGAUUGUUUUUAUGUCUAAACAGUGGUGUGAGGCUAACACUUGGCCAUCUAGUGGUUUAGUCAGGUAUUUUUCGCCAUCCAACUUCAAAUUAAAGUUUCCUACAACUUGGAUUAUUAUUGACAGCACAGAAUAUCCCGUGAUAAAACCUAAAGCUCCUAGAGCUCAGGCAACCUUUUCAUCAUAUAAAAACAGAAACACUGAAAAUACUUGUAUGUUCGACACCUGGUGGUUUAGUCAACUAUGUCUCUAAUGCAAAUGUUGGUUGUACCAGUGACUGUGAAAUAAUGUAGUUGAAAGAUGUAGAAUAGUUCAAUUAUGUGAUCCAGGUGACAGUGUGAUGGCAGACAAAGGUUUAAAUGUGCAAGAUUUGUUUGCUAACUUU